rnacentral:tRNA from 1 species
ACGAUUUUAGUUUAAUUAAAAUGUCAGUUUGUCUCGCUGUUGUUGGCUUUAUGUGCUAAGUCGUU